GAACUCACCUAUACCAUUUUUAGAACGUGAAGACCUCAUUUUCUCGAGAACCCGAGAACCUAGUUUUGGGUUAUUGUUCAUGUGAUCGUGAAUGUGAAGUUUUUAGAAUAUUUUAAGCUGUUAGGAAGCUUUAGGACGUCUUCGUGAAGCUCGGAGAAGAAAAACGAAGUGAAUUAGACGUCGGGAAAUUGAGUUGGACAAGUUUCAAAUUUUGGCUGGAUUAUUGAGGGUUCUCCGACGAGAUUUCGUGGAUUUCAAAGCUUGAAAGUGGUAAGGUUUUGUUCCUCUCAUCCUAAGCUUCAAUUUGGUUCAAAUUUCAUAAAUUUUGGUUAAGAAUCGAAGAAGAUAUGAAUGUUUGAUUAUUUUUCAGUUUCCGGCGAGUGCAGCGGUGACCAGCGCUGGACUCCGGCGAACCAAGGAAGAAGGAGAAGAAUAUUCUGUCAAAGUUGAUGGAAAAUUCUAACGCCGUUAGGUAUAAUUAACAGCAUAUUCUAGUUUUUAAUGGAAUAUUCCCUAAUGGCGUUGACUAUUCCGUCCUCUGUUCCAAGUACGUGCCUGGGCUUGAGCCGCGCAUCUGGCCGUGCCUUGGCCGGUGCAUGAGGGCACGUGGGGUCAUGAAAUUUUUUUCUAAAAAUAUGGGGAUGUUCCUGAGGAUGAGUAGAUCAUGGUGGUAUAUUCAAAUACCCCAUUUGAGCUUUGUAUGAGAAGUUAUUUCCUAGUUUUGUGUAUGUGCUUUAAAUGACGUUUAUUUAGUUAUUUCGCAUAUAGGUGAGACCUAUCCUGAGGACGAGCGCCAUUAAUCGAGGCUUAGGGGCUACGACCCUUCGACAUACCAGUGAGUGGCCUUUUGUUUUUCCGUAUAUACCUAUAUACUUGAGGUUUUUCC
rnacentral:lncRNA from 1 species